rnacentral:misc_RNA from 1 species
GAUGAAGAACGUAGCGAAAUGCGAUACGUAAUGUGAAUUGCAGAAUUCAGUGAAUCAUCGAGUCUUUGAACGCACAUUGCGCCCUCUGGUAUUCCGGAGGGCAUGCCUGUCCGAGCGUCAUUGCUGCCCUCAAGCACGGCUUGUGUGUUGGGCUCCGUCCCCCGAUCCCGGGGGACGGGCCCGAAAGGCAGCGGCGGCACCGCGUCCGGUCCUCGAGCGUAUGGGGCUUCGUCACCCGCUCUUGUAGGCCCGGCCGGCGCUUGCCGACACAUCAAUCUUUUUUCCAGGUUGACCUCGGAUCAGGUAGGGAUACCCGCUGAACUUAAGCAUAUCAAUAAGCGGAGGA